CCUACGGGCGGCAGCAGUGAGGAAUAUUGGUCAAUGGACGAGAGUCUGAACCAGCCAAGUAGCGUGAAGGAUGACUGCCCUAUGGGUUGUAAACUUCUUUUAUAAGGGAAUAAAACGACGCACGUGUGCGUUUUUGUAUGUACUUUAUGAAUAAGGAUCGGCUAAUUCCGUGCCAGCAGCCGCGGUAAUACGGAGGAUGCGAGCGUUAUCCGGAUUUAUUGGGUUUAAAGGGAGCGUAGACGGUUGGUUAAGUCAGUGGGAAAAUCGUCCGGCUAAACCGUAAAGUGCAAUUGAAACUGGGAGUCUUGAGUAUACGUGAGGUAGGCGGAAUUCGUGGUGUAGCGGUGAAAUGCUUAGAUAUCACGAAGAACCCCGAUUGCGAAGGCAGUGUACUAGA
rnacentral:rRNA from 1 species